rnacentral:rRNA from 1 species
UACAGAGGUCUCAACCGUUGUUCGGAUUCAUUGGGCGUAAAGAGCUUGUAGGCGGUUUGUCGCGUCUGCUGUGAAAACUGGGGGCUCAACCCCCAGCCUGCAGUGGGUACGGGCAGACUAGAGUGCGGUAGGGGAGAUUGGAAUUCCUGGUGUAGCGGUGGAAUGCGCAGAUAUCUGGAGGAAUACCGGUGGCGAAGGCGGCAUCCUGGACCGGCAUUGACGCUGAGGAGCGAAAGCCAGGGGAGCAAACGGG